GACGAACGCUGGCGGCGUGCCUAAUACAUGCAAGUAGAACGCUGAAGGAGGAGCUUGCUUCUCCGGAUGAGUUGCGAACGGGUGAGUAACGCGUAGGUAACCUGCCUGGUAGCGGGGGAUAACUAUUGGAAACGAAAGCUAAUACCGCAUAAGAGUAGAUGUCGCAUGACAUUUGCUUAAAAGGUGCAACUGCACCACUACCAGAUGGACCUGCGUUGUAUUAGCUAGUUGGUGAGGUAACGGCUCACCAAGGCAACGAGACAUAGCCGACCUGAGAGGGGGAUCGACCACACUGGGACUGAGACACGGCCCAGACUCCUAAGGGAGGCAGCAGUAGGGAAUCUUCGGAAAUGGACGGAAGUCUGACCGAGGAACGCCGCGUGGGUGAAGAAGGUUUUCGGAUCGUAAAGCUCUGUUGUAAGAGAAGAACGAGCGUGAGAGUGGAAAGUUCACACUGUGACGGUAUCUAAACAGAAAGGGACGGCUAACUACGUG
rnacentral:rRNA from 1 species